rnacentral:rRNA from 1 species
UGGCGGACGGGUGAGUAAUGUCUGGGAAACUGCCUGAUGGAGGGGGGUAACUACUGGAAACGGUAGCUAAUACCGCAUAACGUCGCAAGACCAAAGAGGGGGACCUUCGGGCCUCUUGCCAUCGGAUGUGCCCAGAUGGGAUUAGCUAGUAGGUGGGGUAACGGCUCACCUAGGCGACGAUCCCUAGCUGGUCUGAGAGGAUGACCAGCCACACUGGAACUGAGACACGGUCCAG